GUGGGUGUAGCUCAGGCGGUAGAGCGCCAGGUUGUGGCCUUGGUUGUCGAGGGUUCAAAUCCCUUCACUCACCCCA
rnacentral:tRNA from 1 species